rnacentral:lncRNA from 1 species
AAGAGAACUACGAUUAUUGAGCCUCACUGAGUGUUCACACUGGUCUGCAAGACAGCUUUGAUUCAGCUGAUUUCAGCCAGGCUCACCCCGACUUUGCAGGGCGCUGCGAACCCCAGCCUUCAGGUCGGGUUCAGCAUCCAGCAGUGCCCUGGAAAAGUGGCUGUGAAGUUACUUGCAAGACUGCAUUGAACCCGGGCGAGACACUUCUCAGGGGAGCUGUCCAGCUACAUUCUCUGAGUGAAGGUCCUGAACAGCUUGGAGUACUAAGAAGAGCGCUGGACAUGAACUGGAAUAUGUGGGUUCAAAUCCCACCUUUUCACUGCCCAGCUCUGUGACCCUGAGCAAGUGACUCAACCUCUGUGAGCCCCGUGUCCUCUCUGUAAAAUGGAGGUAUGAAUGCCUGUGAGAACAGGAUAUGGGGAGGGUUCCUGUAUAACACUUCGCCCUGCCCAUCUGAAUAAAAGGCUGCAUUCACCCUUCCUAAGGAAGACCACUUUCCGAUGUUCCAGUCUGAAGACAAGGAAUGCAAAGCUCACGGAUGCCGAGGAAUUUAUCCAAGAUCACUGUGAUGGGAUGGGAACUUUGGUUUUCAGCCUUUAAAUACAUUGGUGCAGAAGUCCAAGAAAGAUGCUUGGAAAGACCUAG